AGAGUUUGAUCCUGGCUCAGGAUGAACGCUAGCGGCAGGCCUAACACAUGCAAGUCGAGGGGCAUCACGAGGUAGCAAUACUUUGGUGGCGACCGGCGCACGGGUGCGUAACGCGUAUGUAACCUACCUAUAACAGGGGCAUAACACUGAGAAAUUGGUACUAAUUCCCCAUAAUAUUCGGAGAGGCAUCUCUCCGGGUUGAAAACUCCGGUGGUUAUAGAUGGACAUGCGUUGUAUUAGCUAGUUGGUGAGGUAACGGCUCACCAAGGCAACGAUACAUAGGGGGACUGAGAGGUUAACCCCCCACACUGGUACUGAGACACGGACCAGACUCCUACGGGAGGCAGCAGUGAGGAAUAUUGGUCAAUGGACGCAAGUCUGAACCAGCCAUGCCGCGUGCAGGAAGACGGCUCUAUGAGUUGUAAACUGCUUUUGUACGAGGGUAAACUCACCUACGUGUAGGUGACUGAAAGUAUCGUACGAAUAAGGAUCGGCUAACUCCGUGCCAGCAGCCGCGGUAAUACGGAGGAUCCGAGCGUUAUCCGGAUUUAUUGGGUUUAAAGGGUGCGUAGGCGGUUUGAUAAGUUAGAGGUGAAAUCCCGGGGCUUAACUCCGGAACUGCCUCUAAUACUGUUAGACUAGAGAGUAGUUGCGGUAGGCGGAAUGUAUGGUGUAGCGGUGAAAUGCUUAGAGAUCAUACAGAACACCGAUUGCGAAGGCAGCUUACCAAACUAUAUCUGACGUUGAGGCACGAAAGCGUGGGGAGCAAACAGGAUUAGAUACCCUGGUAGUCCACGCAGUAAACGAUGAUAACUCGUUGUCGGCGAUACACAGUCGGUGACUAAGCGAAAGCGAUAAGUUAUCCACCUGGGGAGUACGUUCGCAA
rnacentral:rRNA from 1 species